rnacentral:rRNA from 1 species
AGCGAACGCUGGCGGCAGGCCUAACACAUGCAAGUCGAACGAACCUUUCGGGGUUAGUGGCGGACGGGUGAGUAACACGUGGGAACGUGCCUUUAGGUUCGGAAUAACUCAGGGAAACUUGUGCUAAUACCGAAUGUGCCCUUCGGGGGAAAGAUUUAUCGCCUUUGGAGCGGCCCGCGUCUGUUUAGCUAGUUGGUUGAGGUAAUGGCUCACCAAGGCGACGUUCAGUAGCUGGUCUGAGAGGAGGAUCAGCCACAUUGGGACUGAGACACGGCCCAAACUCCUACGGGAGGGAGGAGAGGGGAAUCUUGCGCGAUGGGCGAAAGCCUGACGAAGCCAUGCCGCGUGAAUGAUGAAGGUCUUAGGAUUGUAAAAUUCUUUCAGCGGGGACGAUAAUGACGGUACCCGGAGAAGAAGCCCCGGCUAACUUCGUG